GGUGAUAAAUAUUGUCCAUGGAAUGUAUGUACAUGUACAGGUUACCUUUUUGGUAAGGGUAUGCCUGUUACCUACAGACGAAGUAAAUCCUUAUUAUGCAGAACCCGUACAAAAAGCCUUUGGAAGGGAUAGCUAGCUGCGACGCAGAGGAUGGAGAAUUUUUACAACCAGCAAAGAGCGCAAUCUAGCGCCAAUUACGAAGAUGUAUUAUUGAGCAUGCUGCUGCUUAUUAAAUGGAAGAAAAAAUAGUUUUUAUAACCUCAAAAUGUUCCGAGGGGGGCGUAAAGCCAGCAAAUUACAAGGAACGAAAGAUACGGUGCGACGCGCGAAAGUUGCGACGGAAUAUUUGGCGACCGCGCGGAUUUUAACUUGCCACGGGGCACCCUGUACUUUUUGCUACCAAACAUUAUGCCAGUGCAACUUUAUAUAACUUUGGCAGAUUAUUGUUAUGAAUUCGGAUUAUAAUUAUAUGUUUUGCUUUGGCGAAAAAUAAAAAAAUAAAGUAGUU